rnacentral:rRNA from 1 species
CCUACGGGUAGCAGCAGUAGGGAAUCUUUCACACUGGUCGAAAGCCUGAUGGAUCAACGCCGCGUGCAGGAUGAAGGCCUUCGGGUUGUAAACUGCUUUUAUAAGCGAGAAAUAUGAUGGUAACUUAUGAAUAAGGAUCGUCUAACUACGUGCCAGCAGCCGCAGUCAUACGUAGGAUACGAGCAUGAUCCGGAGUGACUGGGUGUAAAGAGUUGCGUAGGUGGCAUAAUAAGUAGCUAGUGAAAUCUGGUGGCUCAACCAUUCAGACUAUUAGCUAAACUGUUAAGCUCGAGACCGUUAGGGGUAACUGGAAUUUCUAGUGUAGGAGUGAAAUCCGUAGAUAUUAGAAGGAACACCAAUAGCGUAGGCAGGUUGCUGGGACGGUUCUGACACUAAGGCACGAAAGCGUAGGGAGCAAACGGGAUUAGAUACCCGAGUAGUC